GAUCAUGGCUCAGAACGUACGCUGGCGGCACGCCUAACACAUGCAAGUCGAACGAAGUAGCAAUACUUAGUGGCAGACGGGUGAGUAACAUGUAGGUAUCUGCCCUUUGGCCUGGAAUAACACGAGGAAACUUGUGCUAAUACCGGAUAAGUCUUUACGGAGAAAGCUUUAUGCACCAUUGGAUGAGCCUGCAUUUGAUUAGUUUGUUGGUGGGGUAAUGGCCUACCAAGACUGUGAUCAAUAGCUGAUUUGAGAGGAUGAUCAGCCACAUUGGGACUGAGACACGGCCCAAACUCCUACGGGAGGCAGCAGUGGGGAAUCUUGCACAAUGGAGGAAACUCUGAUGCAGCGAUGCCGCGUGAGUGAAGAAGGCCUUUGGGUUGUAAAGCUCUUUCGUCGGGGAAGAAAAUGACUGUACCCGAAUAAGAAGGUCCGGCUAACUUCGUGCCAGCAGCCGCGGUAAUACGAAGGGACCUAGCGUAGUUCGGAAUUACUGGGCUUAAAGAGUUCGUAGGUGGUUGAAAAAGUUGGUGGUGAAAUCCCAGAGCUUAACUCUGGAACUGCCAUCAAAACUUUUCAGCUAGAGUAUGAUAGAGGAAAGCAGAAUUUCUAGUGUAGAGGUGAAAUUCGUAGAUAUUAGAAAGAAUACCAAUUGCGAAGGCAGCUUUCUGGAUCAUUACUGACACUGAGGAACGAAAGCAUGGGUAGCGAAGAGGAUUAGAUACCCCUCGUAGUCCAUGCCGUAAACGAUGUGUGUUAGACGUUGGAAAUUUAUUUUCAGUGUCGCAGCGAAAGCGAUAAACACACCGCCUGGGGAGUACGACCGCAAGG
rnacentral:rRNA from 1 species